GUGAAACCAAGGACAUCUUGCUGGAGAUUCCUGCCUAUCUGAGGUGCUGUGAGGAGCUUGCUCCUGUCCUGUUCUUUACCUCAUUUGUCACAGUGAUAAAUCAUGCACAAGGAUGUAACUCAACACGACAGCAGUUUACUUUCAGCAAAGUCUGUUUCCAUAUGGUGCCUCGGAGCAUACAAACACAUCAAUAUGGGAAGAUGAAAUCUCCAGACAUUACAAAGCCAGUUGGUCAGAAGACAUGCUGACUGAUUGCUGAUGCUGGGCCCUGAUGCUCUGAUAGGCACAAGUACUUGGACUGCAAAGGCACCUGUGUGCACUGAUGCCCUGUCUGUGUCAGAAUUGCAUCCAAGCAUGGUCAUUCAGGAAGAUGGGCUGACAGAGCCCGAUGGCAGGUGUAGUAAGCCCUUGUCUAGUGAGUAUCUCUGGGCUGGUGAAAACACAUGAGAGAAAAGCAUAUCAGAUAUGAUUUCUCUUCUCUGGGUUUGCAGUGCUGAGAAGAGAUAUGGGGUUUAGAAUAAACUUCUUGGACUGCUUUCUGAGGGACAUGGGAAACUAUCGGCCUGAAAACCUAGGAAGAAAUAACACAGAAUACUCAGCUGCCAUAACAGUGAGACACCAAGGAAGGCCGCUGAUUGCAAGAGUACCCUCAUAUUGAGUCUCUGUUUCCAACAGCCAAGCCCUCAGGAGAAGUAUGAUUCUAGAUGACAGGAACCAAGGCUCUGGCUUUUGGGUCCUAGAUCACACUGAGAAACAUUCAGCAGCUGGGAAACAUUCUCUAGAGAAGACUAUUUAUCUGCAUUAACUAAAGAGGAAAAACUUAUCAGAUAGACACCUUGAAUGCCCUUUGUACUGCCUCUUACUCCUAAGAACCAGCUCCUUCCUGCAGACCUCUGGAAUUACACUUUUCUCCUUCAUUCACAGAUUUUAUAAAGACCAAGUCAAAUUGUGAGCAUUUGUGACACUUUUUCCUCCAAUUUCUCUUUUGUAAAUAAAGCAAAUAUCUGAACUGCAUUUUUUUUCUGUUUUAUUUAUUUAUAAGAUGCCUGAGGCAUGUGUUCAAUAGGGAUAAAUCACAAACACACCAACUUGUUUUUCCAUGUGUUGAGUGUACACCUACAGCCUACCUUUAGCAAAAUUUAAUAUCAUUUGAUAAAUGCAUGUAUAUGAGAGAAAUUGCAACAGUUAAAAAGAACUGAAAUAUUUUUUCAUCUAUCUGGUGCUAAACCAUGCCUUUUUAUCAAAGCAAUCCUCUCAAGCAUCUCAUAAGUAUAUUUAGAAUAUACUUAUCUACAUACAGUAAAAGAAAGAGCUGAGUGAGACUAGGGAAACCCAUGGUAAAAAUGGAUGGCAAUGCUCUCAUAGAACUUAAGUAGACUUAAAUCCUUCAGAAAUAAGCACUUUGUAAUAUUGUUUUAUUUUGCAUGUUUAUUAGAUCACAACAAAGAAACUGAAAAUCAAAACUUCUUUAGAC